rnacentral:lncRNA from 1 species
AGAGUGCUUCGAAUUAUAUGGUUGCAUUUCAAGCGCUAUGUGAAUGAACACUAAGUACUAGAAGUACUACAUUAAGAGCAUGUAGAGGAAGAUUGUUGAGUAAGGUUGAACCUAUCUUAUUUCGCCUAUAGAAGAUGUUUAAGGAUUGCAUUAAACUAGGAGGCAGACUCCAAGUUUGAGAAGCUCUAGAAUAUUCUCAAGGACAUGUUCAA